rnacentral:rRNA from 1 species
AUGAACGCUAGCGACAGGCCUAACACAUGCAAGUCGAGGGGCAGCACAAGGAGCAAUCUGAGGUGGCGACCGGCGCACGGGUGAGUAACACGUAUGCAACCUGCCUGUAAGCGGGGAAUAACCCGUUGAAAGACGGACUAAUACCGCAUAAUACUAAAUUACUGCAUGGUAAUUUAUUUAAACAUUUAUGGCUUACAGAUGGGCAUGCGCAUGAUUAGCUAGUUGGAGAGGUAACGGCUCCCCAAGGCAACGAUCAUUAGGGGUUCUGAGAGGAAGGUCCCCCCACACUGGUACUGAGACACGGACCAGACUCCUACGGGAGGCAGCAGUGAGGAAUAUUGGUCAAUGGACGAGAGUCUGAACCAGCCAAGUCGCGUGCAGGAAGAAUUGUCCUAUGGAUUGUAAACUGCUUUUACAGGGGAAUAAAGUGCAUCACGUGUGAUGUUUUGUAUGUACUCUGCGAAUAAGGAUCGGCUAACUCCGUGCCAGCCGCCGC